AUUGUUCUAAUCAAGAAUUCCCCAACGAGAUUUCAUGCGUUGAAAAUGCUGUAAAAUAAUUUCAUUAUCAAUACAAUCAAAUACAUCUUUUUCAAUGUACACAACCAGAUUAUCAUUCAACCAUUCAUCUUCCAUUCAACUUCGUAGUCGAUUCUUCACAUAAUUCAUAGCUGAAAAAACUCUUUCAACAGUGGUAGUGGCAACUGGUAAAACUAAUGCUAAUGUGACUAAUAAAUAGACCAAUGAAAACACCUUGUGCUUAUUAGUCUCAACCAUUUUUUGUGCAAGAUCACAAAUCAUGUUUAAUCCUGAAAACUCAACACUAGACUGCAUAUCCAUUAUGUAAACAUCAAGUUAAGUAUCUAGUGCCAUGAGAUCAAUUGGAGAAAAAUCUUUUAGAUAAAAUUGAGCAAGGCGCAAUAACGUUUCUUUAUUGAAAGCUGCAAAUAAAUCUUUUGGACAUAAACAAGCCAAGCACAUAAGUAAUUUAGUGUUUACCUCAUUAAAACGACUGUUUAACUCUUGAAGUUGCAUAUCCAAAAUAGUACAAAAUAGGUCAAUGCGAUAAUGAUGCAUAUUUGUGAUCUCUUGUGCUCUAUGCCUUGAUCUUCCAGGGGUUAGAAACAUAUUUUCCAUGACAGGAACAAUAAUAAAAUGCUUCUCACAAAAUGAAGAAACUUGACUAAGCAAAGAAUUUCAUCCAUGUUCCCUCAUCCUUUGUAGACCUAGUUUGUAAAUACUAACUAAUUUCAUGGAAUUCACAAAAUCUUGAUCUUUCCUUUGUAAUGCUUGUGACAAAUCACUUGCAAAACCAAGAAUAUUUUUCAUCAAGUAUAAAGUAAACACAAAAUCAAAUGUUUGCAUGAACUUCAAAUUUAAGCUAUAUAAUAAAAUUAGCAAUUUUAAAAUAGAAAAAAUAAUGAAAUAAAAAAUUAGAAUUAAAAAACAUCACGCGCAUGGUGACGAUCAGGGAGCACUGCAAAUCGCCUAAUCUGCUAUGGAGUCCACCCACCACACUUUAUUUCAUGGAACUAUGGAAGAGACGAGAGAAAGCGGAAAGCUAAGAUUUUACUUAUUUUAAUUAAUUUUUUAAUGAAUUUCAUUUGAUAAAGGUUCUCUCAUUUGUCUUUAUUGAUUUUUAUGAUAUUAUAAUAGUUAAUCAAAUUAUUUAGAAUUAGACAUUUAAGUUAGGGGCAACGUGAAAUAUUUUUAAAAUUAUGUGGGCACUUUCAGAGUUUUAAAAUUUAUGUGGGGCAUUUUGAUAAAUAAUAAAUAAAAUAUAUUUUUUUAAGAAAACCAUCAAAAAAAAUUUUGAAAGCCAGCUGGGGCAUGUGCCCC
rnacentral:lncRNA from 1 species